rnacentral:lncRNA from 1 species
AAUGCAUAUGAUCCAUCUAUCAGGAAUUUGGCUUUGUUCAUUCCAGUAUUCCCAGAGCCCCAAGCAGCGCCUGCCUGCUAAGUAGAAAGCAUUUAGCAUUUGUGGAAGGAAUGAAAGCAGAUGUGUGUAAGCCCCUGCCUUCAGAGAAUGAAGACAGAAAACAAGAAGGAAAUAACAAAGAUCACCCUGAGACAGGAGCCCUCGAAGGCCAGAAGAGGACAACUGAUCCCAGUGGUAACAAAG